rnacentral:rRNA from 1 species
GACGAACGCUGGCGGCAGGCUUAACACAUGCAAGUCGAACGUGAUUAGAGAGCUUGCUCUCUAUGAAAGUGGCGCACGGGUGAGUAACGCGUAGAUAAUCUGCCUGGUGAUCUGGAAUAACACUUCGAAAGGGGUGCUAAUACCGGAUAAGCCCACGGAGUCCUUGGACUCUGCGGGAAAAGGAGGGGACCUUUUGGCCUUCCGUCAUCAGAUGAGUCUGCGUACCAUUAGCAAGUUGGUAGGGUAAAGGCCUACCAAGGCGACGAUGGUUAGCUGGUCUGAGAGGAUGAUCAGCCAAACUGGAACUGAGACACGGUCCAGACUCCUACGGGAGGCAGCAGUGGGGAAUUUUGCGCAAUGGGGGAAACCCUGACGCAGCAACGCCGCGUGAGUGAUGAAGGCUCUUGGGUCGUAAAGCUCUGACAGAGGGAAAGAAGUGUAUUACGGUUAAUACCCGUGAUACUUGACGGUACCCUCAAAGGAAGCACCGGCUAACUCCGUGCCAGCCGCCGCGGUAACAC